AUUGCAAUCAUAGUCCCAUUGCUUCCAACCAUUUUUUUUUUUUCUUUCAGGUACAGCUUCAAGAGCUUCGUGUUAAUUCGUGAACAAAUUUUUAAGUUGUUUUAUGUCACAACUCUCGAAUGGAUCGAGAAUUUUUAUUGGUUCCCGAAGGAAAAUACGUAAGUCAAACGACCAAAGAAUAUGUUUGUUUUUACGUAAAAUAAAUACAACAACUUUUCGAGCAAUAUGCUUCUUAUCAGUCUAUUUUUUCUCUCUCUUUCUUCCGUAUAUUAUAUAUCGGUUUUUUUCACUCUCUCUUUUCUCUUUCUUCUUCAAAUUCUAUUUUAGCAUAAUUUUACAAAGCUUUUGUUAUUUACAAAUAAAAUUAUAAUACGUAAAUGUAUUCUUGAUUUAGAAAAUGUCCUUUUAAUUCUUCAAUUUAAUAUAAAAAUUUAUUCAAAGCUUUACGCAACUUAUUCUAGCCCACCUUUUAACUCAUACUAUCGAUGAAACACUGUAUAAUUUGCGUUCAGCUGUUCGUUCUCGUACAUUCACUCAACAAACGACGAUACAUUCGAUGACUAGUUUGAAAAAUUCUUGAUAUUGAAAUACAGCGUUAGAUUGAACAACGACUAUACAAUAAUUUAUUUUUUACUUUUGAACUGAAGAAAAACCACCACCCGGCUUCUCUCACAGCCAAAGGGCACGCGAGCUGCCAGAACUCUCCGAAAAUUACCUCGUUUCGCUCAUUUCAAAGCCAACCGAGAUCUGACCAGAACGAUGGCGCGCGACGUUAUUAUAUACUGUGCUUGACGUCACGACUACGCGGCAUCAUGAUUGGAAGUUGCUAUGAGCUCCAACCAAUCAACUCACUUACUGCGUGAAAUUCGAACGGUGCACGCUCGCUCGUUCACUUGAGAGCUUUUCAUUGCCGUCAUCUCGAAUAAACGUUGGAAAGGCCAGACGAUAUAUACUAUAGUUCUCUACCAGUUAAGAGAGAUUCAUUGCCUUGAAUUACGUCACAGUAAAUCAUGCUACAUCGCCAAUCAAAUCGUUGGAGAUAAACAACAUUGUUUCAACCGGCUUCAAUACGGACAGUUUAGAACCAUUUGUCUGAAACGUGAAGGAACCUUCUGACGCAAAUGUAUAAUUCUUUCCUGCUAUAAAGACGCUUAUUGGCCAAGGUUCAAAAUAUACAUACAUCAGAAAUCGUUCUAAAAACUAUAAUAUUUCAAAGAUUUUCCGUCCUAUUGACGUCAAAAGGACACGUAAAUAUCACGUGUUGGAAACAUGGCAUCUCUCGUUGCUAUACCACGGAAAGUUUCUUCAAUUAGAAACCGAUUGAUCGACUUCAUGGAGAGUUACCGCCUUAAGCUAUUUUCAGACGUCGUGCCGCUUAGUUUAGCGAUUAAGCGAAAAUAGAAUUACUGCUAUCGAGUCUGAUAGAGAUCAUUGAUCUAAUGAAACAAUUGAUAUUAAAUAUAAAAUUUAUCGAAAAA